AGAGUUUGAUCCUGGCUCAGAUUGAACGCUGGCGGAAUGCUUUACACAUGCAAGUCGAACGGCAGCACGGGGGCAACCCUGGUGGCGAGUGGCGAACGGGUGAGUAAUACAUCGGAACGUGCCCAGUCGUGGGGGAUAACGUAGCGAAAGCUACGCUAAUACCGCAUACGAACUCUGGUUGAAAGCGGGGGAUCGCAAGACCUCGCGCGAUUGGAGCGGCCGAUGGCAGAUUAGGUAGUUGGUGGGGUAAAGGCUCACCAAGCCGACGAUCUGUAGCUGGUCUGAGAGGACGACCAGCCACACUGGGACUGAGACACGGCCCAGACUCCUACGGGAGGCAGCAGUGGGGAAUUUUGGACAAUGGGCGCAAGCCUGAUCCAGCCAUUCCGCGUGCAGGAUGAAGGCCCUCGGGUUGUAAACUGCUUUUGUACGGAACGAAAAGGCUUUCUCUAAUACAGGGAGCUGAUGACGGUACCGUAAGAAUAAGCACCGGCUAACUACGUGCCAGCAGCCGCGGUAAUACGUAGGGUGCGAGCGUUAAUCGGAAUUACUGGGCGUAAAGCGUGCGCAGGCGGUUAUGUAAGACAGGUGUGAAAUCCCCGGGCUUAACCUGGGAACUGCAUUUGUGACUGCAUAGCUAGAGUACGGUAGAGGGGGAUGGAAUUCCGCGUAGCAGUGAAAUGCGUAGAUAUGCGGAGGAACACCGAUGGCGAAGGCAAUCCCCUGGACCUGUACUGACGCUCAUGCACGAAAGCGUGGGGAGCAAACAGGAUUAGAUACCCUAGUAGUCC
rnacentral:rRNA from 1 species